AAUUCGCCCUUAGAGUUUGAUCAUGGCUCAGAACGAACGCUGGCAGCGUGGAUUAGGCAUGCAAGUCGAACGAGAAACUGUUGAACAAUCUUUCGAGAGAGUGAUACAGCGGACAGUGGCGAAAGGGUGAGUAACGCGUGGGCAAUCUGCCCUCAAGUUGGGGACAACGGUUGGAAACGACCGCUAAUACGAAUGUGGUUUUCUGUCGCAUGAUAGAGAUACUAAAGGUGGGGAUUCUUCGGAACUGCCGCUUGAGGAGGAGCCGCGCACCAUCAGCUAGUUGGUAGGGUAAUGGCCUACCAAGGCUUACGGUUAGCCGGCCUGAGAGGGUGAUCGGCCACACUGGGACUGAGACACUGGCCAGACUCGUACGGGAGGCUGCAGUCGAGGAUCAUUCGCAAUGGGCGAAAGCGUGACGAUGCGACGUUGCGUGGAGGAUGAAGGCCUUAGGGUUGUAAACUCCUGUCAUGAGGGAAAAGUUGUCAUAUAUUUAAUAAAUAUUUGACUCGAUGGUACCUUAAGAGGAAGCCACGGCUAACUCUGUGCCAGCAGCCGCGGUAAUACAGAGGUGGCGAGCGUUGUUCGGAUUUACUGGGCGUAAAGGGUACGUAGGUGGUACUGUAUGUCGGGUGUGAAAGCCCACGGCUCAACCGUGGAACUGCACUCGAAACUGCAGAACUAGAGUAUAGGAGAGGUAAGCGGAAUUCUUGGUGUAGCGGUGAAAUGCGUUGAUAUCAAGAAGAACACCGGAUGCGAAGGCGGCUUACUGGAAUAUUACUGACACUGAAGUACGAAAGCUGGGGGAGCGAAAAGGAUUAGAUACCCUUGUAGUCCC
rnacentral:rRNA from 1 species